ACGCAUCGUACACUCCGCUCACACUGCACACCACACGCUCGCGACCAUGGCUUCAGCGAAUGCACUGCGUGAACUGGCGGUGGCGUUGGCGUGUGUCCUCGUGGUGCUGCUGCCGGCGCAGGUGGCGGGGAUGUACAUGUUGCACCAGGAGUACCCCAUGUACCCCAUGUACAUGUACCCGGCCUACCAGCACGGAAUGAGAGUGCUCGUCCCGUCGUGGCAGGAUCUCAACGAGUGGUACAUGUGAGCGCCGCGCCGCCAAGAACUGCACACGUGGGCUGGGCUUCCUUAGUUCUGAAUCACAGUGUGCAGCUUUCUCCGUGCCACACUGUAGGCUAUCCUGUUGGUGCGUGGUGAGCAAUCAUUAUUUGACGAUGUAAGAAUACCUGUACGACUAUUAGAUGGAUAAAAUAUAACGUACCCAAGGUUAAAUAA